UCACAUUCUUUUUAUAAAGAGCUUUCUAUAGAUCCCUAUAUCAGCAGGACAAUUUCAUAUCCUAUUACAAUCUGCCAAGAAGAAAUAGAUAAAUCUAUUAGCCUGUUCUUUGCUUGUUUCAUCAUUGUGACAGUCUCUCAUGGGUCUACAUCCAUCAGGCUCCCACACCACCUGACAGCCGAGUCUCCACCACCAAGCUGCAGGUACAAGACAACCUGGCAGUUGGUGCUAAUGGAGUGCCUUACUUCCCCUCCACAUGGUUUUCCAUCCCCCUAAAGGCUUCCUUACAAGGUGGAAGGGGUCACAUUUGAAAUGCUUCUUGUAAAUGCCCAAAGUCAAAUCCGCUGCUUCAGUGCCAGAGGAAUACUUGGUGGUGAUGACUCGAUCAAUAUCCUCAGGACACUGGCUCCUGGUAAUAUUGCUUAAACAUGUUGCAUUAACUUGGCUUUAAGUGUUCCUGCUUUCUUUGCCCAGGAGAGCUAAUGAAAGAGAAACAUUAAAAUGAAGGCUAAUAAUCAUAGAGAAAAGUUAUAUAGUACACUUCACAGGGAAUAUAUGAGACUGUAGCUUCAUCUUCCUUCUGUAACACGUUUAUUAUGAUU
rnacentral:lncRNA from 12 species